rnacentral:misc_RNA from 1 species
GAUGAAGAACGCAGCGAAAUGCGAUAAGUAAUGUGAAUUGCAGAAUUCAGUGAAUCAUCGAAUCUUUGAACGCACAUUGCGCCCGCCAGUAUUCUGGCGGGCAUGCCUGUUCGAGCGUCAUUACAACCCUCAGGCCCCCGGGCCUGGCGUUGGGGAUCGGCGGAGCCCCCCGUGGGCACACGCCGUCCCCCAAAUGCAGUGGCGGUCCCGCCGCAGCUUCCAUCGCGUAGUAGCUAACACCUCGCGACUGGAGAGCGGCGCGGCCACGCCGUAAAACACCCAACUCUUCAGAAGUUGACCUCGAAUCAGGUAGGAAUACCCGCUGAACUUAAGCAUAUCAAUAAGCGGAGGA